UCUCUAAGAUACUACUGGACAAUUUUUUUAUUCUUUUAUAUUUUAUAUAUAUAUAUUUUUCUACUGCGUCAGAUCAACACGGCUACCUACCUGAAUUUAAUGCCCCAAUGGAACUGUUAUUCCAUCACAACAGCCACCCAUUAUCUGGAGUAGCGCACAUUGAGUUACAACAGGUGCCCAACACCUGCGUUUUCUGAAACAAAUGAAGACAUUUUUGUUCUGGCUGGUUUUCCCAGCAGGGUGAAUGGGUCUUUGCCACAGGUAUCAGUCUUAAGUAUGGUUUGAGUUUUGUUUUAAAUGUACUUUCUGGUUUUGAAUGGCCAUUCAUGUACAUCACAUUGAGACACUUCAGAAGGUGAUUAACAAAUCACUGACGGUAAUAUUCUGUAUGCAAAGCAGAUUCUCUACCACUGAACUUCCAUUCAGACAAAUUUAGCCCCUCCCCUUCAGACAAAUUUACAAAGGAUAAAGCAAUUAGUGGCUAGUAGCCACGUUGGCUAUAUACUGUUAUUAAUUAUUCAUUUAAUUUAUACAUUGCCCUAUACCCGGAGGUCCAGUAAUGGAGGCAGUAUGUGUCCGAAUACCUAGUUGCCUGGAAGCAAUAUUGUGUGAUAAUGGUUUCAUUCAUCCCCUCCUUGUCGGCAUCUAGCUGGCCUCUUGGGGGGGUGGGAAGGGGGAGACUGAACUGGACCCUGGACUAGAUGGGCCCGUUCGAUUUGCAUCAGCAAAGUUCUUAUGUUCUAACUGAGUGUUCUACCCCUCCUUUGCCAGCUGCUAGCAGAAUAUCUGCUUUGCACGCAGAAGGUAUAAUUAUACAGUUCUGUGAUGCUAUGAAUUCCUGGCAUCUCCCAGUAGGGCUGGGAGAGAACCUUGCAGAGGUGCUGCCAGUCAGUGUGCAGUGUUUCUCAACCUUGGGUCCCCAGAUGUAGUUGGACUACAACUCCCAUCAUCCCUGCCCACUGGUCCUGCUAGCUAGGGAUGAUGGGAGUUGCAGCCCAACAACAGCUGGAGACCCAAGUUUGGGAAAUACUUGUGUAGAGAGAAUGGGCCCAAUGGUCUGACUCUGCAUUUAUAAGAAUUCGGUUGCUCAUUAUGGCAGCACCUACACUUUGGGACUCCCUGCCUUUUGAGAUUGAGCCUUCACUUUAUUCAACAUAUGAUAAAAACAUUCUUGUUUAGACCAGCCUACGCAGAUGCUUAGAAAGUUGAGGUAACUUUAAACUGUUUUACUAUUGUGAUCUUUGUAUGUUUUAAAGCCAAGCUGUAAAUUUUUACUGAUUUUGUUCUAUCUUUUUGCAAACCGCUUUGAGGUCUUAAAAAUAAUAAUAAUUCAAGC